AUUGAACGCUGGCGGCAGGCCUAACACAUGCAAGUCGAACGAGUGGCGGACGGGUGAGUAAUGUCUGGGAAACUGCCUGAUGGAGGGGGAUAACUACUGGAAACGGUAGCUAAUACCGCAUACCAUCGGAUGUGCCCAGAUGGGAUUAGCUAGUAGGUGGGGUAAAGGCUCACCUCGUGGACGAUCCCUAGCUGGUCUGAGAGGAUGACCAGCCAAACUGGAACUGAGACACGGUCCAGACUCCUACGUGAGGCAGCAGUGGGGAAUAUUGCACAAUGGGCGAAAGCCUGAUGCAGCCAUGCCGCGUGUAUGAAGAAGGCCUUCGGGUUGUAAAGUACUUUCAGCGGGGAGGCGUUACCCGCAGAAGAAGCACCGGCUAACUCCGUGCCAGCAGCCGCGGUAAUAC
rnacentral:rRNA from 1 species